rnacentral:rRNA from 1 species
CGUAAAGCGAGCGCAGGCGGAAGAAUAAGUCUGAUGUGAAAGCCCUCGGCUUAACCGAGGAACUGCAUCGGAAACUGUUUUUCUUGAGUGCAGAAGAGGAGAGUGGAAUUCCAUGUGUAGCGGUGGAAUGCGUAGAUAUAUGGAAGAACACCAGUGGCGAAGGCGACUCUCUGGUCUGCAACUGACGCUGAGGCUCGAAAGCAUGGGUAGCGAACA